rnacentral:rRNA from 1 species
AGUGAACGCUGGCGGCAGGCCUAACACAUGCAAGUCGAACGGAAGCAGGGUGCUUGCUCGUGCUUUCAGCGGCGGACGGGUGGGUGAUGCCUGUGAAUAUGCCUGGUCAUGUGUUAUAGGGUCCGGACGCGGGCGAUCAUACCGCAUACCUGCUGACGGAGAAAGGGGGGGAGCUGGGGACCUUACGCUAUCGGAUGAUCCGAUGUCGCAUUAUCUAGUUGGCGGGGUAAAGGCCCACCAAGGCGACGAUCCGUAGCUGGUCUGAGAGGAUGAUCGGCCACACUGGAACUGAGACACGGUCCAGACUCCUACGGGAGGCAGCAGUGGGGAAUAUUGGACAAAGGGCGCAAGCCUGAUCCAGCCAUACCGCGUGUGUGAAGAAGGCCUUCGGGUUGUAAAGCCCUUUUGUUGGGAAAGAAAAGCAGCAGGUUAAUACCCCGCUGUUCUGACGGUACCCAAAGAAUAAGCACCGGCUAACUUCGUG